rnacentral:tRNA from 2 species
ACCUGGCUGGCUCAGUCGGUAGAGCAUGUGACUCUUGAUCUCAGGGUUGUGAGCUCGAGCCCCACGUUGGGUG